rnacentral:lncRNA from 1 species
AAUACUGAGCCUUCAUUCAAACUAAAAGGCUGGAAGGGAGGCAGCUGCCUUUGUUUGCCAUGGAUGGGUAGGGGCUGCACUGAGCAGCACCGGUGUUCUUCAUCCGGCUGCACCCCCAACAGAGCUCUUUCUUCCCCAGAUCCCUUUUACAGUUGGAUUCUCCCUCUUGGAUCUGGCUCUGCCUUAGUCCGACCUAGAGGGAUCAGCUUCGCCCACGCCCACUCUCACCCGGAACCUUUCAUCUCUUAUUGAAGCCUUUUAGGCCCAUUGGGAUGUUCAUUAGAACUCUGAAAACUACAGUUCUCCCCUUUAUGAGGACUGCACCACAGCUCGCCCUCUCCUGGGUUCCGGUAAGAAGAGAUUCCAAUACCACUCUUUUUUCAGAAUUCAGAAAGGCAAGAGACCACCUUACUGAGCUUCAAACUGGGGCUGGGAACGCUGCCAUGAAUUGGGCUUGGUCUGUCUGAAGGGAGCCACCUUUUCGACAAUCCUUAGACUUCUUUUGCCUGUUGGAAUUACACCUUGGAUCGUGGCGAAGUCUAUAGAGGUCAGAUUAAGAAGAACCAAAGCAGAAUAAACGUAGAACCCGAUGCUGAGUUCACGAGUGAGGACGACCUCUUCCUAUAUGCUUUGCUAUACCCUGCGUUUUGAACAUUAAGGACGAGAUAGGAGGCCCAUAAUGUUUCUUCUUGCUUUAAUCCUGUCGUGGCAACGUUGACUUCCAGGUCUCAGUUUGUUGUCCAGGCCAGAGUGCAGUGGCGCAAUCUCGGCUCACUGCAGCCUCAACAUCCUAGGCUCAAGCCAUCCUCCCACCUCACCCUCCCGAGUAGCUGGAAGUACAGGCUCGUCUUGAACUCUGGGCUGAAGUCAUCCACCUGCCUCGGCCUCCCAAAGUGCUAGGAUUACAGGCCUUAGCCACCUCACCUAGUCCUCUGAAAUUUCUAAAUAAGCCAGUGCUGAAGGAUCUAGCCCAACUUCUACCAAACUUUGUUACCUUUUCCCCUUCAGUGGUAGGAAUAGACAUGAUUUAUUUAGCAAGGCCUGGUUGCAGAGUGAGCCCAUGGGACAGCCCUCUGAAAUUAUACUGCUUACAACCAUGCUGAGUCUGCAAGGACUUCGUCCAAGCCUUUCCGUCCAGGACCUCAAACAGAUCCAAUCACAAGAAGAGAGAUUUCAGGAAAGAGAAAAUUAUUCCUAUCAUCGGGGUUUUUGAAGAACAUGAAAUGACUGGGAAAAUAAUCAUGUUAAGUGGAAAAAAAAAAGAAAUCUAUCUGUUGUAAUUUUCAAAUAAUUUUUAAAUAAAUUUGAAAAAUUAAGAGAACUAUAUAUAUAAUACAUUCCUAAUCUUGUGAAAAAUAUAUAUGCAUUAAUAUUAUUGAAAGAAAUAUAUCAAAAGGUGAACAGCAAUUAUCACCAAUCUAGAUUAUGAGAUUAGGAGUGAUUUUUUUUCUUUGUCCUAUACUAUUUAAUAUUUUCUACCAUUAAAAUAUUCUGAUUUUCUAAUUAGAAUAGUACGUUAGACAAAGAAGGACAAAUAUCACAUGAACUCUCACUCUCUUAUGGAACAGAUCUUGUGGAAUCUAAAAAAGUUGAACUCAUAGAAAAAGAGGAAAAUGAUGGUUACCAGUUAGAAAAAAGGAAUAAGUUCAAGAGAUCUAUUGUACACCAUGGUCAAUAUAGUUAACAAUAUAUUUUAUACUUUAAAAUUGCUAAGGUAGUAGAUUUUAAGUGUUCUCACCACACAAAAAAAUAAGUAUGUGAAAAGCAUAUGGUAAUUAGCUUGAUUUAACCACGCCACAGUGCAUACAUAUGUCAAAACAUCAUGUUGUAUACUAUAAAUAUAUACACUUUUUGUCAAUUUUAAACAGGUUAUAAAAAAACAUGUUAUUGUUGAUAAUUAUGAAAAAUUUUAAUGAUGUGGAAAUGUGUACAGUAUAAUGAUAAAUGAAAGAGUAGUAAAAAUCCUUAUAAAAUAUAAUUACAAAUGUGUUGGGUGGAUAAUAUAAAAAUCUUAACAGCUAUUUCUGAGCUAAGUGGUGGAGCAUGGGUAAUUUUUAGUGCCUUCUGUGUCAGGCUGUUCUUGCAUUGCUAUGAAGAAAUACCUGGCCAGGCGCGGUGGCUCACGCCUAUAAUCCCGGCACUUUGGGAGGCCAAGGCGGGUGGAUCACCUGAGGUCAGGAGUUCGAGACCAGCCUGGCCAACAUGGUGAAACCCCGUCUCUACUAAAAAUACAAAAAUUAGCCAGGUAAGGUGGUGCGUGCCUGUAGUUCCAGCUGCUGGGGAGGCUGAGGCAGGAGAAUCGUUUGAACCCAGGAGGCGGAGGUUGCAGUGAGCUGAGAUAGCCUGGGUAACAGACCAAGACUCUGUCUCAAAAAAAAUAAAAAUAAAAAUAAAAAAGAAAUACCUGAGAAAAGGUAAUUUAUAAAGGAAAGAGGUUUAAUUGGCUUGCGAUUCUUCAAGUUUUACAUGAAGCAUGGCAGCAUCUGAUUUUAGGGAGGCCUCAGGAAGCUUCCAAUCCUGGCAUAAAGCAACGAGGAGCAGGUACGUCACAUGGCGAAAGCAGUAACAAGAGAGAGAGUAACGGGGGAGGUGCCACACCCUUUUAAACAAUCACAUCUCAUGAGAACUCACUAUCCUGAAGACAGCACCAAGGGGAU